CAGUAGCCGCGGGAAUACGUAGGUGGCGAGCGUUGUCCGGAAUUAUUGGGCGUAAAGGGAGCGCAGGCGGACAUAUAAGUCUAUCUUAAAAGUGCGGGGCUCAACCCCGUGAGGGGAUGGAAACUGUAUGCCUUGAGUGCAGGAGAGGAAAGCGGAAUUCCCAGUGUAGCGGUGAAAUGCGUAGAUAUUGGGAGGAACACCAGUGGCGAAGGCGGCUUUCUGGACUGUGACUGACGCUGAGGCUCGAAAGCCAGGGGAGCGAACGGGAUUAGAUACCCCAGUAGUCCCUGUCUCUUAUACA
rnacentral:rRNA from 1 species